UACGUAGGGUGCAAGCGUUGUCCGGAAUUAUUGGGCGUAAAGAGCUCGUAGGCGGUUCGUCGCGUCGGCUGUGAAAUCCCGGAGCUCAACUCCGGGUCUGCAGUCGAUACGGGCGGACUUGAGUUCGGCAGGGGAGACUGGAAUUCCUGGUGUAGCGGUGAAAUGCGUAGAUAUCACUUGGAACGCCAACGGUGAAGACAGUCUGCUGGGGACUUGCUGACGCUGAGACACGAAAGCCAGGGGAGCGAACGGG
rnacentral:rRNA from 1 species